GACGAACGCUGGCGGCGUGCUUAACACAUGCAAGUCGAACGGAAAGGCCCUUCUUUUUUCUCGUGCUCGAGAGGCGUGAGUGUCAGUAACACGUUCUUCACCUCCCCUUGACUUUGGGCUAACUUCCUGGAACUAGUACUAAUUCCGGCUACGCGCUCCUUCUUCUUGGUUGGAAUUGUUUUGUUUCGGCGGUUGGGGAUGGACUCGCGGCUUAUCAGCUUGUUGGUGGGGUAGUGGCUUACCAAGGCUUUGACGGGUAGCCGGCCUGAGAGGGUGACCGGCCACAUUGGGACUGAGAUACGGCCCAGACUCCUACGGGAGGCAGCAGUGGGGAAUAUUGCACAAUGGGCGGAAGCCUGAUGCAGCAACGCCGCGUGAGGGAUGACGGCCUUCGGGUUGUAAACCGCUUUCGACUGGGACGAAGCGUGAGUGACGGUAAUGAGAAAAGAAGCACCGGCUAACUACGUG
rnacentral:rRNA from 1 species